rnacentral:rRNA from 1 species
GACGAACGCUGGCGGCGUGCCUAAUACAUGCAAGUAGGACGCAGUUGCGAACGUGUGAUUAACGCGUAGGUAACUACCUAUUAGAGGGGGAUAACUAUUGGAAACGAUACCUAAUACCGCAUACUAGUAGAUGGACCUACGUUGUAUUAGCUAGUAGGUAGGGUAAUGGCCUACCUAGGCAACGGUACAUAGCCGACUUGGGAGGGUGAUCGGCCCAACUGGGACGGAGAAACGGGCCAGAAGUCUACGGGAGGCAGCAGUAGGGAAAUUUCGGAAAUGGGGGGAACCCUGACCGAGCAACGGCGCGUGAGUGAAGAAGGUUUUCGGAGCGUAAAGCUAUGUUGUUAAGGAAGCGGUACUUAACCAGAAAGGGACGGCUAACUACGUGCCAGCAGCCGCGGUAAUAC